rnacentral:tRNA from 1 species
CUAGUGAUAGUUUAAUAAGAAUAAAGGCUUUGGGUGCCUUAGGUACGAAUUUUUUCGGCCACUAGA